GGAUUAUUGGGCGUAAGCGCGCGCAGGUGGUUUCUUAAGUCUGAUGUGAAAGCCCACGGCUCAACCGUGGAGGGUCAUUGGAAACUGGGAGACUUGAGUGCACAAGAGGAAAGUGGAAUUCCAUGUGUAGCGGUGAAAUGCGUAGAGAUAUGGAGGAACACCAGUGGCGAAGGCGACUUUCUGGUCUGUAACUGACACUGAGGCGCGAAAGCGUGGGGAGCAAACAGGAUUAGAUACCCUGGUAGUCCACGCCGUAAACGAUGAGUGCUAAGUGUUAGAGGGUUUCCGCCCUUUAGUGCUGAAGUUAACGCAUUAAGCACUCCGCCUGGGGAGUACGGCCGCAAGGCUGAAACUCACAGGAAUUGACGGGGGCCCGCACAAGCGGUGGAGCAUGUGGUUUAAUU
rnacentral:rRNA from 1 species